GAGAACAAAAUGGGACGCCGCUUCAAUCUUUCUCCAACUGCCUGCAGACUCCAUCAAACCCUAGAACGAGAAAUCUUAAAUCCACAACCCAAAACUCAGGUAGAUUAAUUGAAGAAAGAUGGCUCCAUCAGAGCGGGUAAGAUGGCUGGAUGAGUAUAAUCCAUUUAACUUGGUCAGACGGCACUGCCGUGAGAAACACCUGUUUGUGGGUGAGAUGGUCUACCAAAAGAGUAGGGAGGGCAACCCAGAAGGAUGAAUCAGAGGUAAAUUGUACUAAAGUAGUUUGCCCUCUUCAUCUCCUCAAAUAAAUUUGAUUAUCUAUCAAUUUCCUUGAAAUUAUUUUUGGUUUCAAAUUUAUAUCGAUUGCUAGGGUUUUGGAAGGCUGUAUGGAUUUGGGUAAUUUUCAUAUUAUUUUGGGAGUUUGCCCACUUGAGGUAGAGCUUUUGUACACAGAUUUUGGCUUCAGGCCAGAGUGUUUGCUAAUCCGAAUUGUUGAAGAGGAUUUGGGGAUUGAUAUCUGAAAGGGAUGAAUCUCUUCAUUUUCCAUUGCUCUCAACCUCCGACUGCAGAAGGAGCUCAAGUUCCUUCUCACCGACCGUCCACCUACCUCGAUUGCUGCAAGCAAAGACUGUAACAAAAAUCACAGACGCAGAAGACGAAGAGAGAGAGAGAGAGAGAGAGAGAGAGAGAGAGAGAGAGAGAGCGGAAGCAUGUCUAAACGUCAGGACGGCCUUGAUCUCCUUCUUUCUUUUCAAGACGGGGUUUUGGAAACCCCUCUUGGUUCUCCUUUCCAAUCGCCAGGUCUUGGAAAUUGAUAAAGAACAAAUGGUUGAUUUACUGAGAAAAAUAAUAAAUGAACAAAAACUAAAGCUUCGAACUCAGAGAAGGAGGUGGCUGUCAUUGUUCAAAUUCAAUUUGAAAUCGUAUUUCUGAGCAUGUUGUUUUAUCACUGAUCAGGGUUUUAUUUAAGACAAACUUAUACAUCCCAACGCAAAGGGAGAGAGGAGGCAAAGGCUGGCAUUGUUGAUAAUGCACUUCUCUUUGGAAAGAAGCAUGUUUGGUAUUCAAUCCACCAUUUAAAUGGGAAGGAGGAAGUUCCCCGUCACAUGGUUAGAGCCGUAAAGGAAAUAAACUUUAUUAAGAUAAAGAGGACUGAACAACAACAUGAAAAGCUGAGAAUGAACAGUCGAAUACCGAAUUAAUUCCACUGCUACCCCCCAACAAAUCCAAGUGCUGAAAUUUCAAUUAUUGUUCUUCGGGGAGUGCAUUUGAUAACAGACGGAUGCUUUAAUUAUAGAGAGACUCUCAGUGCUUUAAUUAUAGAGAGACUCUCGUAACUACAACCAUCCACAAAACAAUGAUGAUACUUUUGAAAGUAUCAAACACUAUUCCUAAGUCUUUGUUCUUUUUGAGUGGGCAUUCAUUCAUCAUCCAUCAAUUUUACAACACAAAUAUGUAUCUUUUGUUUUGGAUUGAUAUAAAGAUGUAAAUAUGUUUUGAUAUAGAAGUAAAUAUAUUUUAAUAUAUUUUAUACGUUUAACAUGGUUUUAGACCCACGGCCUUGCGCGGGCUAAGUUGCUUGUAAACUAUUGCAAAAGGUAUUUUUAAAGCAAGUCUUUUAUCAGUUGGAUGAGGAGGAAAUGUUCACCUCACCCUUCAGGUGGCUGCAUUUACCGGGAUGACAUGGAAAGCAAUGCUGACGUCAGUAUGUGAAGUUUCUCAAAUCAAUAGAUUACACUUGGCGUUGAUUUUUUCAUUCAAUUUUUACCACUAGAUAAAAUAGUGUCUGUUGUUUAUGCAUGUGAAGACAAUUAUAAUUUAUAAGGUUUGCGUUACAUUUUAGUUGAUCCUAAAUAUCUCAUACUAACAUUGUCUUGUAUAUACCAUUGAUACCCUUAACGGUCUAAAACAAGAUAUUUUACAUAAAGUUACUAAAUUUGGAGUGAUUGAAUAUAAA